AGUGACCUUUCCUCGUGGCAGGACGAUGGCUACUCAGUGGUGCCGAUGAUGUGUUAGCACAGAGGUAUUCACGUGUGUGAGGGACUGUGGGGAAGUGACCACCUCCAGGCAUGACCACAUGUCUGGAGGCUCAGUGAAUCAGCAUCUCUGGGGCCUUGAGAAGGACACAGGCACUAAAGCUGGAACCCAAGGGGAGCCUGAUGUUAUAACCACAAUGUCAAGCCUUGAAUUGGGGCCAUGCAAGCCCGUGAGCGGGUUUCGCGUCUGUGCCUGGGACGUCGCUGGUCCAGGAGACAGAAGAACACACAGUGCAGAAUGGUGGCAGGCCAGAAUGCAAAGGGGGAUCCUCCAGUUGAAUGCUUGUGUUUUGAGGGUUUGGCACUGGGUCCGGACAAAGGGGACCCUUCUUCCAACAUGGAAUGACCUCUCAACAAAGCCACAGUUGCCCGUGGUCUGCUCAGCCCCAGUACACAGUGUGUGAACAUGAAACCCAGCUAUGUAUGCAUCUGAUAGGAACUCAAAAUAAUGUCCUUGGAGAUGAUGAAUUUGUGUCAACACUCUAUUAUAAAAUAAUUUGAAUGAAGGGACACAUGAAAAAAGAAAUGAAUUCAAAUGAGUAAGUACAUUUUAUAGAAACAGCUGCAAACAGCUAGAAAGAGCUUUUGGUGAUCCUUUUAUCAAACCAUCUGUCUCCAGAUAGAAUUGUCCCUGACAUGGAUCAGGUAUCUCACAUGAUUUCAAGCACUCCUUAUCCAUAGAACUUUCUAGAAGCACCUCACUCUCUUGAAUAUUUAUCUGCGAAUUAUUGUAAUGGGUAGAGACUUGAAAUGUCCAUUAAAAAGACGCCUAAGCAAAAUUAAUCUAUAGCAAUAGAAAUCAUAUCACUAACUUGCCAGAGAUGGAGAGAGGUGUUUGAAAGGAGCAUGAGGGGACUUUCUGGGCGAUAGAAAUGUUCUGUAUCUUAGUAGGGUGUGUAUUACAUGGGUACAUACAUAUAAAUUGCAAAA